rnacentral:misc_RNA from 1 species
ACAGCUUGCUUGAAUUAAUGUAUCGAAUUCAAUAUUAAUGAUGUAAAGAUAAAAAUUAAUUAAAUAUUGAUACACCAAUAUAUUUUAGGAACUUAGAAGGGCUUUUAUUUUUCCUUGUGUAUUUUUUUGUUAUAAUCGAUUUUGAUUGAGGUUGUGGUAUUUGUUGAACUCUAUUGUUGAGGUUGGACGCUUAAUUGAAUGCUAAAAAAAGGCAAAGAUGCAUAGCAAGUGGGAGGGGGGAAAUUGAACGAAAAAUAUGCAAGAAAAAGAAAACGAGAAGAACUUUAAUUGCAGUAGUUACAUUGCGUAUAAAUGUUAAGGAAUACUAAUGAAGUGAUCUGGAGCAAUCUCGGUCGCCGGUUGUUGUGAAGGGUUGCUUAGGUCGUUUCUCGGGGUGUCAGAAGUUUCUGAUAAGGAGGGGAAGGAAGCAAGACAACUACGGCGACAAGUGGGACAAGAGAAAUGGCCAGACAACCACCGCUCGAUACAGUGGACAUGGAAUCCGUGCUUACAUGUGCCCAAAACCCGAAUCCCUUCACCCUCCACGAACUCCGACAAGCAGAUGGCGCACUCAGCCUCUUCUCCGCCCAGCUUCAUCCCUGCCGAAUACACCAGCGUUGGAGCCACCACCAAUGGCGCUGCACCUGCUUCAGUGUUGGGUUUCCGCUGCUCAUCAAGUUCUCGUCGAUUUUGGGGAAGACGGUCUGGUGGGUGAUGGCGGCCGCGUAAGAAGCAGCGGAUGGCUGUGUUGAGAGCUAGAGCACAUAUUAGUGCACAGAAGAGGAUGAUGAGGAUCAUGGCUGUGUUGGCUCCAAAAUCAUUAGAGUUUGAGUAAGGCCACCACCUGCAGCUAUGGGCGUGGGGAUUACAUGAUGUCGAUACUGUCUGAGGAGGCGGCGGAGAGAGGUGGAUGGUGUUUGGAGAAGCUGCCGUUGACAUUUCUUGUUCCGGCCGCAUUUGUUUGGUUAUAUUCUUAAUUUAAUGUGUUUUAUGCUAUAUCACGGAGGCUUUUUAAGUGAUAUAUAUGCAGAAAGGGGUGUUUUCAAAUCAUCGAGCAGUUUUAAGUUUUUAAGAUGAGGUUGUUAGCUGAGAGAGAGGAGAUUGCGUGAGAGUACAGACUUGGAAGAUUUUAUAGGCAUCACUUUCAGGCUGCAAUUAAGCAAUGCAUAGUAUACGUGCACUUGAGGAUUUACAAUUAAUUUGCUGGAUAUAUAUUAGGAAACUUGUAUUCACGAUCUCAGCAAGGAAAUGGUUCUAUAUGUAUCAUAUAAUUAACCCUUACUUCCCCUUCAUCUAAUCCAAGCUCUAUUCAACAUUUCUCCAGCAUGUGUAGGGCCAAAAACCAUGAAUGUUACUUCACCACUGAUGUGAGAAAUAAUUGGACACAUAACGCGUUCAGACAAAAGUGUCAUUUUACAUGGGCUGCGGUUAGCUCCACAUGGACUUGGUUACUCAUCAUAAAUGAGUCCUGAUGACAACGGAAAUGAUGGCAAACUCCAAAGAAAUUCCGUAGCUUUUUGUUUGCGCUUCUGUUGCAUUAUAUGUUUGGUUUUGUAGCUGUUGGUGAUUGGGAUUAGUAGAAGCUGUUAAUAAAUAAUAAGGGCUCUAACACUAUUUCUUGGAUGUAUCUGAAGAGGGCAAGUGAUCAUGAAUGAGGGGUCUCGAAGAUUCGUCGCAGAAGAGAAAGAUGCAGACACUUCUUAGAGGCUCCAUCUCUCCAUCCCUAUCUUUUUUUUGUCGUUCUCUGUUGGGGAGAAGGAAAUUAUAGGUCCACGUUAGUAAAUGGACAAUGAAAAUAGAAUGGAAGGGCGUUGGGUUUUGGACCCCACUGGAAUGACCGGGUCGAAUGCAAUCCAUAAGGAUUUCCUGUGAAUUGCUACAGUGGCCACAUUAGGACCCAGCAAGGACCUUAAUUGGGCAAGCAGGAGUUGGCUACAAUUGCCUUGUAAUUGAGGCAACUGCACAGUAAUAGCAUCUUAUGUGCUGUGUCUAUGAGAGUGAGGGACUGGGCCUUCGGGACCACGCCAUGCCCAUGCUCGUAAGUAGAAUGUUUUGUAUGAUUUAUAUUUACAUGAUUGCACAUCAAACUGCCACUUUUUAGUUGGCAAAACA